AUUGAACGCUGGCGGCAGGCCUAACACAUGCAAGUCGAACGAGUGGCGGACGGGUGAGUAAUGUAUGGGAACCUGCCUGAUGGAGGGGGAUAACUACUGGAAACGGUAGCUAAUACCGCAUACCAUCAGAUGUGCCCGGAUGGGAUUAGGUUGUUGGUGGGGUAACGGCUCACCAAGGCGACGAUCCCUAGCUGGUCUGAGAGGAUGACCAGCCACACUGGAACUGAGACACGGUCCAGACUCCUACGGGAGGCAGCAGUGGGGAAUAUUGCACAAUGGGCGCAAGCCUGAUGCAGCCAUGCCGCGUGUAUGAAGAAGGCCUUCGGGUUGUAAAGUACUUUCAGCAGGGAGGCGUUACCCACAGAAGAAGCACCGGCUAACUCCGUGCCAGCAGCCGCGGUAAUUC
rnacentral:rRNA from 1 species